UGGAGAAUGGAGGAAUCUCAUCGGGAAAACAACAAAUAUAACAUUUCCCAGUCAAGAGGGUCCGCUCUUGACGGUGAAGAACACAUUGGAGAAUGGAGGAAUCCAAUCGGGAAAAUAACAAAGAUCACAUUUCCCAGUCAAGAGGGUCCGCUCUUGACGGUGAAGAACACAUUGGAGAAUGGAGGAAUCCAAUCGGGAAAAUAACAANNNN
rnacentral:lncRNA from 1 species